AGCGAACGCUGGCGGCAGGCUUAACACAUGCAAGUCGAGCGGGCACUUUCGGGUGUCAGCGGCGGACGGGUGAGGAACGCGUGGGAACGUGCCCUCUGGUUCGGAAUAACUCAGGGAAACUUGAGCUAAUACCGGAUACGCCCUUUUGGGGAAAGGCUUGCUGCCGGAGGAUCGGCCCGCGUCUGAUUAGCUAGUUGGUGAGGUAACGGCUCACCAAGGCGACGAUCAGUAGCUGGUCUGAGAGGAUGAUCAGCCACACUGGGACUGAGACACGGCCCAGACUCCUACGGGAGGCCGCAGUGGGGAAUAUUGGACACUGGGCGCGAGCCUGAUCCAGCCAUGCCGCGUGAGUGAUGAAGGCCUUAGGGUUGUAAAGCUCUUUUAUCCGGGACGAUAAUGACGGUACCGGAGGAAUAAGCCCCGGCUAACUUCGU
rnacentral:rRNA from 1 species